rnacentral:rRNA from 1 species
CCUACGGGUGGCAGCAGUGAGGAAUAUUGGUCAAUGGACGGGAGCCUGAACCAGCCAAGUAGCGUGCAGGAUGACUGCCCUACGGGUUGUAAACCUCUUUUGUAUGGGGAUAAAAUGCUCCACUUGUGGGGUUCUGCAGGUACCAUCCGAAUAAGGCCCGGCUAAUUCCGUGCCAGCAGCCGCGGUAAUACGGAAGGUCCGAGCGUUAUCCGGAUUUAUUGGGUUAAAAGGGUGCGCAGGCGGUAGAUAAAGUCAGCGGUAAAAUUCCGAGGCUCAACCUCUGCGCGCCGUUGAAACUGGCUGUCUAGAGUUGGUGAGAAGUAUGCGGAAUGCGCGGUGUAGCGGUGAAAUGCAUAGAUAUCACGCAGAACUCCGAUUGCGAAGGCAGCAUACCGGCGCUCAACUGACGCUCAUGCACGAAAGUGUGGGUAUCGAACAGGAUUAGAUACCCGGGUAGUC